rnacentral:lncRNA from 1 species
CAAAUGAAUACUUCUCCUUCUUUCCUGAAUAAUCUCCACAAUCCUGAAGAGAAAAUGGAUGUUCUGGUCUCGAUGGCAGACCAAGGAGGAGUGGGGAGAUGAGGGUUGUGAAGGCUCCUAAAGCACUUUCUGAAUACAAUUCAAUUUUAUCAACAGAAAUAACUUCAAAGGGCGGCUCUGAGAACAAGAGGACCUUGGAAGGUGCAUUUCUGAUACCACACACA